ACACCGAUAGUAAAAGGGUUAUCAUGCUUUCCUUCCAUAACCGAUGGAGCAAGCGGUAGUAGGGGUUCGACUCCCCUUCGGUGUA